GCUCUAAAGUAUUGAGGUACAACAGCCACAACCAAUUUCCCUGCUUCGGAUUAUACCAAAGAAAUAGAGGAAAUGAAGCACAUGACGAAGCAAGAAUUCAUCGCCUCCCUAAGAAGGAAAAGUAGUGGUUUCUCGAGAGGAGCUUCUAUGUAUCGCGGUGUGACAAGG